rnacentral:rRNA from 1 species
UGGGGAAUAUUGCACAACGGGCGAAAGCCUGAUGCAGCAACGCCGCGUGAGGGACGACGGCCUUCGGGUUGUAAACCUCUUUUAGCAAGGAAGAAGCGAAAGUGACGGUACUUGCAGAAAAAGCGCCGGCUAACUACGUGCCAGCAGCCGCGGUAAUACGUAGGGCGCAAGCGUUAUCCGGAAUUAUUGGGCGUAAAGAGCUCGUAGGCGGUUUGUCGCGUCUGCUGUGAAAACCCGAGGCUCAACCUCGGGCCUGCAGUGGGUACGGGCAGACUAGAGUGCGGUAGGGGAGAUUGGAACUCCUGGUGUAGCGGUGGAGUGCGCAGAUAUCAGGAAGAACACCGAUGGCGAAGGCAGAUCUCUGGGCCGUAACUGACGCUGAGGAGCGAAAGGGUGGGGAGCAAACAGGCUUAGAUACCCUGGUAGUCCACCCCGUAAACGUUGGGAACUAGUUGUGGGGUCCAUUCCACGGAUUCCGUGACGCAGCUAACGCAUUAAGUUCCCCGCCUGGGGAGUACGGCCGCAAGGCU